GGGUCCUGCGCAACAGGAGGUCCUGAACCGUGUCAGGUCCGGGAGGAAGCAGCACUAAGGGAUUUUUCUUGUGUGCCGCAGGGGAGCCUGGA
rnacentral:SRP_RNA from 1 species